rnacentral:lncRNA from 1 species
GACACCGAAUGAAGACCACACGCCUCUUGUGCCAACAGAAGCCUCACAUAAAUGUGAAAAAAUAUUUUUCAAUCGAAUCUUUCAAAAGGUAGAGAAUAAAUAAUAUAACAUAACAUACUAAGAUUCAAAAUGAGUGUAUUUAUAUAAUAAAAAUAUUUAAAUAAAAUAAUCACAGAAACAACAAUUCAUUUUUAACAAAUAGAUGUAAGUUAGUCCAGUUUUGGGUUUUUAUUUAUUUUUAUUUAUUUAUUUUUAUUAUUAUGCUUGUUAGAGAAUGUGUUCAUUGUAUACUCUGAGAGAUUUUGAAAUAGCUCUAACUUAA